GAGCAAUUACCAAGGCUGAGUAUUUGUGCAGUACUGCAGUCCUAAUAGAAAGCAGAGAUGUCUGGAAUAAUCAGAAAAAAAGUGUGUGGGCCUGACUCUGGUCAAAUGAUAUAAAAAAAUAUUACAGAUGAGGCAAAUUAAAGGUGUUCUAAGAUCCCACAGAUGAGCAACCUUUCCAAUGGUUCUCAAAGAGGGCAGUCUUGGGAGCAACCCAGUGUCUAAAUCCCCCAGAACUGAAGGGGGGCAUAGAUUGGCUCUUCUUCUGACGAGCCCUGUUCUUCCCCUCUCCCAAACUAACUCAAGAGAAAAAGUACCAGGCUUUUAAAUGCACUGUCUUGUUAGGGUGGCCUGUCGUACACUCAUGUAAGGGUGGGAUGGAGAUUGAACUGAAUGGCCCUGUGCAAGGCAGAGGGAAGGGAGGGCAGGAGGCGAAGCCCUCUGCCAUGUUUCUCUUCAGGUGGCAAAAAAAAUUCAAAGUGGUUUGGCUGUUCCUGAAGCCGCAGCUUUGGGGUUACAGGCAGGCCUCUUUUUUCUAAGAGAUGCUUUCAUUUUGUGUGCAAAAGGGGCAACUCAUCAUUUUGAUCAAAGGAGAUGUUACCAGUAUAUCAAAUAUCUGAGGGAGCACAGGAGAAUGAGAAAAGCAGAGGUGAAAAGAGCACAUGAAGGAGAGGAAUGCUCCAUUACAGUGUACUGUAUAUCCACACUGGAACACUCUGCUCUGUUUCCUGGAGAAGCAGACUCUUCCUGACUCUGAUCUGCUUCCUGGAAGCAGAAGUCCUAUUCUAAUGGAUCUGUGGACCUUGAUGUAAGGAAAAAAAAGAAAGAAAACUUUAAUGUUUACCAGAAAUUUUAUUUUCUUUACAGGAUCAACUAAGUCAGCUUAGCUAAUCUUGCUAAGAAAUGGAAAUUGACACUUUAGAGUUUGAAUUGCUACUACAUAGAAUAUAGCCUAUUUUGCAGAAUGAGAAAUUAAUUGAUAUGUGUUUAAAAUAAUCUGUUAUUUAGGAAAGCACUACUUACUGGAAAAUACAAGGGUAAUGUAGUAUAACAACUUCAGAAAAAGUGGUGAUAUACAAGGAAAAUGACCAGCCAUGUUAACAGAUCUGGAUGCAAGUGAAAAGCAG
rnacentral:lncRNA from 1 species